rnacentral:rRNA from 1 species
UACAGAGGUCCCAAGCGUUGUUCGGAUUCAUUGGGCGUAAAGGGUGCGUAGGCGGCGCGGUAAGUCGGGUGUGAAUCUCGGGGGCUUAACUCCGAAACUGCAUUCGAUACUGCGGUGCUUGAGGACUGGAGAGGAGACGUGGAAAUUUACGGUGUAGCGGGUGAAAUGCGUAGAUAUCGUAAGGAAAGACCAGUGGCGAAAGGCGGGUCGUCCUUUGGGACAGCUUUCCUUUGACGGCGAGGGCACGAAAGGGUCAGGGAGCAAACGGG